rnacentral:lncRNA from 10 species
UGGAAAGCCCAGGAGGCUCUGGGAAUUGAUGAGAGACAACAGGCACCAUGCACUGUUACUCCUGACUUUCUGGGCUUGCCUGUGCAGUGGAUGCUGCCGUGUUUUCACCUGUUUAUCCUUCUACUGCUAGUAAUUCCUCAGCUUCCCUCUGGCAACUCUCUCGUCUCCCACUGCAGCCCACAUGAUUUUGGGUGGAGUUCAGUCAACCACUGAUCAGGCAAGCCUGGCAUCAAAUUCUCCUUGGAGGGAUGAUUGGUGCAGGAACGAGCUUGGGACCCGAUCAAGAGAUGUGGUGGGACUGGCCAGGCAUGGUGGCUCACAUCUUUUUUUUUAAUAGAAUGGUUUCAUAUCAUGUUUUUCCGGUGGACUGCAUUGUUAUUAUCCCAUUGAGGAUCUUGGACUGGGAAUUUCUGGCCUGCUGCCGGAAUGUUUUGGCCAGAAGGAUGUUCACGUUCCCAAAUUGUCAUAGCAGCCCUAUGAUUCAUCCCCCUUUCUUCCCCUGAGAAAAGGAUACCCAGGAGGGACAUUCUCUUCCUUCCUGGGGCACCUCUCUCAAAGGAAAGAGAGUUGGGGCUGAUUCCUUAGAGGUAGAGGGGGAAGGAAGAUUUUGAGUCCUUUUAGGGAAGGAUACUUAGGCUGACCCAUGGGGUGGUGGUAAGUGUGAAAUCUGAUCCUUCCCCUGCAUUUUUUAGGGGAAAGAAGAUAACAGGUCUUUUUUCUCCAGCAGAGAGCAUAGUCUAUUUCUUUCUGUGAGACCAGACUUUUGUCAUUCACAUGCUGAAUUAAAAGAUGACAGACCCAAUCCUCAUCUCAUCCAUAUUUUGGCCAGAAGACAUCAGGUUUGAGGAUGGGUUUCUUGGCCCAAAUAAAACUAUAUUCUAUCAUCUGUUGCUUUUUUUGGUGUCUGGUCGUCUCAUUUUCCUUCUAAUAAUUUUAGCAUGAGACCUAAAGGACUAUCGGAGGGGAUCUGACUAUCCCUAUCCUUACCUUUCCCUGUUGUACUAGGAGUGUUUCCCAUCUUGGAGGUUUUGGAUGCUCCCUUGAGUGUGUGUGUGUGUGGCCUAACCUCUCUUAUUAAAGCCUUCCCUUUUAUCUAGAGGCUCAAACCCCCUUACUGGAGUUUUCUUGCACUCCUUUCCAUUUGCUUUGUCCUAUCUGGCUGCUUCCCUCAUGGGAAAUUAGAGGCAAUUUACUUCUACAGAAAGGCGCUUCCUGUAUGCAAGACAGAGGCAAGGGAGACCGCGCAAAACAAAGGAGAGCAGGAGUUUUUUAUCCCUGAAGCAGACCCUGUUCCUGUGCCCUCACCCUGAGUGUUGGGGUCGGACCACACAAUCUAGGCUAAUUCCGAUUAGCUACUGUUGACAUCAUCAAAGGAGGCGAGGGUGGAUGUUUGAUGGGAAGGAUAGGUAAGGUACAUCUUGGGGCGUCUGAGCACAGCAGAGAGAGGGAGGGCUGAUAGAUGAAUGGGUAUGAUUUCCUUUUAGAAUAGAACAAAGAACCAGGAACUGAAACCCUUUGAAGAGGAACUAUUUGUUCUUAAUAACAUAAGUAAGGCAGUAACAGCCCAUUUAUGCUUCAGGCAGGUUCAGAAGGGUUUGCUGUAACUUGCAAUGGAAAGCCUUUUACCUGUCUAAGCCUGCCCUCUCACACUUUAUCUCUGCUUCAAACUUUCCUGCUGCACAGAACUCCUACAGCUCCCUUUUUGUCCUCCUGUAGUCCUGCAUGUUUGACUGCAGGUAACCAGAGUCAGGACCAGCUUCAGCUCUAGAACCUGCCUGCUGACCACCUUCCAGGAACUGGGAGCACUGGAGGCAUUGGCCAUCCCGCCAAAGGGCUCAGAUUCAGCACCAAGCCCAGAGGUUCCUACCAGGACCACUUGCAGGGGUUCCCCUGCUGAGGAGUGGUCUCCUUCUGUAGAAAUCCCCCUUAGUACUGGGUUUGAGAAAUGCAAACCUAAGGCUAGAAUAGCAGGCUGUAUGCAGGGCCUCAAGAUUGUGAGCUUGUCACCAUUGAGGGGCACUUCAGAGCAAUGACCAUAUGCCUGACACGGGGCUGAGCCCUUAUCCUCACAAACACCUCAGGAUGUUGGUGCCAUUAUUACCCCAUUUUAUAAAAGAAGACAUGACACUUAGAAGGAAGAUUUGUGGACUUUUCUUGUCCUUUUCCCAAUCCAUUAAAACUGUCUGUGAACACUGUUACUUUUCUCACCUUUAAAAAAAUAGGUAGAAAGUUAAACAUUGCAUGUUCUCACUCAUAUAAGAAAGCAAAAAACUUGAUCUCAUAGAAGUAAAAAGUAGAAGCUCGGACAUGAUGGCUUAUGCCUGUAAUCCCAGCACUUUGGGAGACUGAGGCGAGUUUGAGACCAGCCUGGCCAACAUAGCGAAACCCUGUCUCUAC